rnacentral:rRNA from 1 species
GACGAACGCUGGCGGCGUGCUUAACACAUGCAAGUCGAACGGAAAGGCCCUGCUUGCAGGGUACUCGAGUGGCGAACGGGUGAGUAACACGUGUGUGAUCUGCCCUGCACUUCGGGAUAAGCCUUGGAAACUGGGUCUAAUACCGGAUAGGAGCCAUUUUUAGUGUGAUUGUUGGAAAGUUGUUUGGGUGUAGGCUGAGCUCGCGGCCUAUCAGCUUGUUGGUGGGGUAAUGGCAUAACAAGGCUGCGACGGGGAGCCGGACUGGGAGGGUGGAGGGCAACAGUGGGACUGAGACAGGGCCACGACUCAUACGGGAGGGAGAAGUGGGGAAUAUUGAAAUAUGGGAGUAAGCGUGAUGCAGAGACGGCGCGUGGGGGAUGACGGCGUUGGGGUUGUAAAUUCAUUGCGCUAGGGACGAAGCUUUUUGUGACGGUACCUAGAUAAGAAGCACCGGCUAACUCCGUG